CCAGACUCCUACGGGAGGCAGCAGUGGGGGAUAUUGCACAAUGGGGGGAACCCUGAUGCAGCGACGCCGCGUGGGUGAAGGAGUGCUUCGGCAUGUAAAGCCCUAUCGGCAGGGAAGAAGCAAGACGGUACCUGACUAAGAAGCCCCGGCUAACUACGUGCCAGCAGCCGCGGUAAUACGUAGGGGGCGAGCGUUAUCCGGAUUCACUGGGUGUAAAGGGAGCGUAGACGGCCAAGCAAGCCAGGGGUGAAAGCCCGGGGCCCAACCCCGGGACUGCCCUUGGAACUGCAUGGCUGGAGUGCGGGAGGGGCAGGCGGAAUUCCUAGUGUAGCGGUGAAAUGCGUAGAUAUUAGGAGGAACACCAGUGGCGAAGGCGGCCUGCUGGACGAUGACUGACGUUGAGGCUCGAAAGCGUGGGGAGCAAACAGGAUUAGAUACCCGCGUAAC
rnacentral:rRNA from 1 species